rnacentral:misc_RNA from 1 species
UUUGCGGAGGAUUCGGUCACUUCGAGAGAUGCUGAUACUGCUGAGCGAAAGCAAGGAAGCAGUACUUGUCUUGCGCGAGCAGACAUUCACAAUUCACUCCUUCCAGGACGCAACUCGAGUUUUCUGUUGUUGUCGAGUUGGAGAGUCAGCACACCUCUCUUCAUGCAUCUACGGGAUGGAGCCAUGACGAGCAAAGAUUCGCAAUCUACUCAGGAGCUCCGUCUCUCAGAUGGUUCGCAACCACGGGUGAAAUUCCCAGCAUGAGCAACACUUUGGGGUCUGCUCUACUGGUCCUGUCGCAAGGCAGUAUUCCAGAAGUUGCUGAGCAGAAGCUGCAAAGUCUCUGCUACGACGCAACUGUUGAGACUGAUUAAAACCGUGUGUGAAGAACGCAUGAGCUAGUAACUAAGACGUGAAGCUGAGCGUAAGCUACGAAGCUGCAGAGUGAAAGGAAACCCCUCGGUACAUGCACUAAGAGGACGCAGGGUGAUGACGAGUUGGAGGCUU